UACGUAGGGGGCAAGCGUUGUCCGGAUUUCUUGGGCGUAAAGAGCGUGUAGGCGGCCAUGUAGGUCCGUUGUGAAAACUCGAGGCUCAACCUCGAGACGCCGAUGGAAACCAUGUGGCUAGAGUCCGGAAGAGGAGAGUGGAAUUCCCGGUGUAGCGGUGAAAUGCGCAGAUAUCGGGAAGAACACCCGUGGCGAAGGCGGUUCUCUGGGACGGUACUGACGCUGAGACGCGAAAGCGUGGGGAGCGAACAGG
rnacentral:rRNA from 1 species